rnacentral:rRNA from 1 species
CUUGGUCAUUUAGAGGAAGUAAAAGUCGUAACAAGGUUUCCGUAGGUGAACCUGCGGAAGGAUCAUUACCGAGUGAGGGCCCUCUGGGUCCAACCUCCCCACCCGUGUUUAUUUUACCUUGUUGCUUCGGCGGGCCCGCCUUAACUGGCCGCCGGGGGGCUUACGCCCCCGGGCCCGCGCCCGCCGAAGACACCCUCGAACUCUGUCUGAAGAUUGAAGUCUGAGUGAAAAUAUAAAUUAUUUAAAACUUUCAACAACGGAUCUCUUGGUUCCGGCAUCGAUGAAGAACGCAGCGAAAUGCGAUACGUAAUGUGAAUUGCAAAUUCAGUGAAUCAUCGAGUCUUUGAACGCACAUUGCGCCCCCUGGUAUUCCGGGGGGCAUGCCUGUCCGAGCGUCAUUGCUGCCCUCAAGCCCGGCUUGUGUGUUGGGCCCCGUCCCCCGAUCUCCGGGGGACGGGCCCGAAAGGCAGCGGCGGCACCGCGUCCGGUCCUCGAGCGUAUGGGGCUUUGUCACCCGCUCUGUAGGCCCGGCCGGCGCUUGCCGAUCAACCCAAAUUUUUAUCCAGGUUGACCUCGGAUCAGGUAGGGAUACCCGCUGAACUUAAGCAUAUCAAUAAGCGGAGG